CCUACGGGUGGCAGCAGUGGGGAAUAUUGGACAAUGGGCGAAAGCCUGAUCCAGCCAUGCCGCGUGUGUGAAGAAGGCCUUCGGGUUGUAAAGCACUUUCAGUGGGGAAGAAAGCCUUGGGGCGAAUACCCUCGAGGAAGGACAUCACCCACAGAAGAAGCACCGGCUAACUCCGUGCCAGCAGCCGCGGUAAUACGGAGGGUGCGAGCGUUAAUCGGAAUUACUGGGCGUAAAGCGCGCGUAGGCGGUCUGAUAAGCCGGUUGUGAAAGCCCCGGGCUCAACCUGGGAACGGCAUCCGGAACUGGCAGGCUAGAGUGCAGGAGAGGAAGGUAGAAUUCCCGGUGUAGCGGUGAAAUGCGUAGAGAUCGGGAGGAAUACCAGUGGCGAAGGCGACCUUCUGGACUGACACUGACGCUGAGGUGCGAAAGCGUGGGUAGCAAACAGGAUUAGAUACCGGGUAGUC
rnacentral:rRNA from 1 species